rnacentral:lncRNA from 1 species
UUAUAAGUUGUAGUGCGCACUGCGCAUGGCAUCUUCACCUUUUCAUUUCUCCACUCCACUUCGCACUCUCUUCUCAUCUCCGUCACAUCGAAGAUUACCUUGCAUUCCUAUCCAGGCCUUGCUAUUCCGGCAGCCCCUUACGCAUAAGACGCUUGCCAUCUCGCCGGGAUUAGAGGUGUUCCGGGUUCCGGGAGAUUUUGUUGGAGAGCCAAGGCGUCGAUGGCGGGGACCGCAACUGAGAAAGGGAAAGGAAAGGUGGAGGUUUUUGAUUCCGAGGAGGAUCUGUCGGUAUCCCUCGCUAAAUACACCGCCGAUCUAGCUGAUAAGUUCUCCAAAGAGAAAGGCACUUUUACUGUCGUUUUGUCUGGUGGUUCUCUCAUCAAGUCUCUCAGGUCUUUAACUGCCCUUCCCUUUUUCACUUAAUUUUUACCAUUUCCUUUUUUUUCUCCCUUAUUUUCUCAAAUGAAUUGGCUCCGUCACUAAAUAUUACAAAAUUUUGUGCCUUUUCUGGUUACUUCCCUUUCUUCUUUUGUAUGUAAAGAAAGUUUUUAGGUUUCGAAUUAAUAUUUGCAUGGUUUCUGAUAAUUGAUGAUGUGGGAAAUUGAACUUUCAGGAAACUGGUGGAAUCCCCAUAUAUUGAUUCGGUGGAUUGGUCAACCUGGCGGGUUUUCUGGGUGGAUGAAAGGGUUGUUCCGAAGGAUCAUGUUGACAGUAACUAUAAGCUAGCUUUUGAUGGAUUUCUCUCAAAGGUAUAAUCAAAGAAAAUUUGUGUUUCUAGUUUAUUAUUUCUCACUGCUGAAAUGAUGAUGAAUCUGUUGUGGGUUAAUUGUUACUAAAUUCUGUUAAAUAUGAUGGAUAUGAAAAGGUUUUUAGUCGUAAAAGUUUGGGCUGAGUACGUAGGCGUUUGAGUGAGCUGGAGUUGCUCUGCUUGUAAUGUGCUUGCCUGUUGUCGUAGUGUGCUUUUAUCUGCGGCAGGUUUUCCUGCUUUUCUUGGAUAAUAAAAUUCACUCCAUUAUCCAAAAAAAAAGAAAGGUUUUUAGUCUUUGAUUGCUAACAUGGCAUUGUUUUUUUUUGCUAAUUUGCUAUUUUUGGAGCUCACAUGUAAUAUCAUAUCAUUUGUAAAGUAAAGUGAGCAAUCCAAUAUGGAUUGUAUGUCCAAACUCCAAACAUACUGCUUGGUGCCAUGCAAGUGAGGAUAUAUUUGAUUCUCUUCUGGUUUUUACCUUAGGAGGACGAAAGUUAAUGUUUAAAAUGCAUUGUAGUUUUCCCAACCUGAUAAUGAUCAAUAUUUUGACUGCCAUCAAGUAACCAUUUUUAUGUUGCACCAUAAUUCAACCUUCACUUGGUACUUGGUAGGUAAAUUCUUUUGGUCUGUGCAAGAUGAAAUUAUUGUCAUUAGUAAUUAGCCAAGUUAUCUUCCAGUGCAGGUUCUAUGGUGGUGUUAGUAUUUUCCAAUAUCCCAAGGCAUUCAAGUUAAGCGUGUAUUUUCUCUCCUGCAGGUAACAAUUCUUCCUGGAAAUGUCUAUGCCAUCAAUGAUGCACUGCCUGCUGAAGGUGCAGCUGAUGACUAUGAGACCUGUCUUAGGCAUUUGGUUGAGAGUGGCGUGAUUAGUGUCUCACCAGCUACUGGAUUUCCAAAGUUUGAUCUCAUGCUUCUGGGAAUGGGACCAGAUGGACAUGUGGCUUCUCUCUUUCCAGGCCACCCUCUGGUCAAGGAGAACGAAAAGUGGGUUACCUUCAUUAAGGACUCACCAAAACCUCCCCCAGAGAGAAUUACCUUCACUUUUCCUGUUAUCAACUCAUCUGCUUAUAUUGCACUGGUGGUGUGUGGUGCUGGUCAAGCUGGUCCUGUCCAUGCUGCAUUAGGAAAUAGUCAAAAUUCCGAUAUUCUGCCUGUUCAGAUGGUUUCACCGGAAGGUGAGUUGGUGUGGUUUUUGGACAAAGAUGCAGCUUCAAAGCUGUAAGUUGUGUCUAUAGUUUAUCCGAGUUGCUUCUCAGGAUAUACUUGAUUGUGUUAAUUUGAGCUAUGUCGUCUGACCAGUGGAUGUGCUACUGGAGUUUGUAUCCCUGAUAGUUACGGGACUAGCAAGCAUUUUCUUUCACGUGAUGGAAAAAAUGCGAUCUUAAUAAAUUGUAGUUCAUUGUAAUCAUCCUGUGUUAAUUAUCUAGAAUUCGGUGACAGCAUAUUCGUGAAUCGCAUUAAGUUCAUACUAAUCAUCCAGAUUACUAACUCCUGAAUACUAAAUUCCAUGAUUGUAUCCGAGUUUCCUCAAGUGGGGAUAAUUUUCCUCUGAGCAGCUGGAUGAGGAUUGAAAAAUGAAACGCAACAAAGCAGUCCGAAUGGGCUUAUUGUGCAAGUCUGUGGUUUUUUAGAACUAUGUUUUAGAACUAAACCUCUACUAAAAUCUAAUGUUUUCCUUUAUUUAUUGAUGCUAUAAGAAUUUCAUUUCUCUUUACGUUAAAUCAUUAUAUAUAUAUAUAUAUAUAUGAGGAAUAUUAGAUCAAAAUAAUUAAAUAAUGUAAGUGUUAUAAAUUUAAUUUUUAUUCAAAAGUAAAAAAAUAUAUAACUCCUUCGUACACUAAUAUUGUAAGCGAAUUCUUACUCUCUAUAUAUAAUCUAGAAUGGUGAAUUUUAUAUAUUGUCCUAAUUAAUUUUAAGAUGAAUUAUAUAAUUGAUCACUCAAUUAUGUCAUAUUUUUAAAAUAUUUAUUAAAUUAUUAAAAUUUAAGUAAACAUUUUUUCAUCACUCAAUCUUAAUCUCUAACAAUUGCAAUGUCAAUUAUAAGAUAUCAUGUUAUAUUACCACUUCAAUAAACUUUAUUUUUUCAAAUUUUAUAAUGCCACGUUCGCAAUAAAAUGCGGUUUAUUAUAUUAUGUGGUAAUAUUAUUUGAUACCUAAUAGUUGAUGUAAUAAUGUCAUGUCAAGAUUGACAGCUAAAAUACGAUCAUUAAAGAUUGACAACUAAUAAUGUGUUGCCAGAUACACGACUAAAGACUAAUGGUUGGGUAACCAAAAAAAUAUUUACUCAAAUUUUAAUAAUUAAAUGACUAUUUUAAAAAUAUGAUCAUAAUUAAAUAAUUAAUAGUAUAUUUUACUUUUAAUUUUAUUAUACGUACAUUAUUUGUGAAGAGAAAUGUAUGCCCUGACUUAUCGAUAUCCAUGAUACACACUUCAAUUAUUUUGCUUUGAGUUAAUAUGUAAUUUGAUCUUUGAAUUAUAUUAUUUUUACGAUUUAAUAUUUAUAAAAAAAUUAUGAUUUGACAUAUUAAUUUUUCAUUCAUUAAACAUUUUGUAAUGUUGACUCAUGGUACUAGUUAAAAUCAUAAUAUGAUAGAUAUUAAUCAAUAAAAAUAUGUCACUUUUUAUAAUUUUGUUUGUUAAUUUUUUGUUAUAUCAAGGGAUAAUGUCUUAUAUGGCCCCUAAAUUAUUGUAAUUUUUUGGAUUUGGUACCUAAACUAAAAAAGUUGCUAAAUAGGUAACCAAACAUUAAAUCAUAUAUCAAUUUGGUCCAAGAGUUAACUACAUUAGUUGAGUUAUUGACUUGACUAUUUUAACCAAUAAAAAAUUGCCAUAUGGACACAAAACCACAAUCCAAGGCUCUCUCUACUUCUUUACCAUAUUGCCCUCAAACUCAAACACAGAACCACUCCUUGCAAUCAUGCCUUUUAGUUCAUUUUUUAUCUUAUUCUUUCACUUUAGUUCUACUAAUUCUUUACCCACAAUUGAUUUUCCCAUCAAAAUAACUACAAUGAGAAUGAUCAUCAAUGCCCAACAAGAAUUAUUGUCUUUUUGCAAAUGAGCCAAAAUUGGCUUUUAGAGGCAAUCUUUCACAGUUAAACAUAUGAUUGAUACAAUCACUCACAACAACUCUAAACAAAUGAUCUUGCAACAAGUCAUUUGAAUUGGAAUUUUGAGAGCUUUCCAAAAACGAGUUACUAACAUUAACUUCAUAAUUUGAGAAAUGAUUAAAAGGAAAAUUGGAAGUUUGAGGCUUAGAAACAAGCCAAAAGGUUUCCCACCCUCUAAAAGAUAAAGUAAAAGGUUGAUAAUCUAUUUUUAAUGACUGGGUGGAUUAAAUACCAAGUUUUUGGUGAAAAAGGUCCAUUAAAGCUUUCUUAUAGUUUUCAUGAACCCCUCUAGUUGAUUUCUAAGUGGUUGAAUCAACUUUAGACUCCAUUUUUUGUUUGCUUCAAGAUUUAAUUAUUGUAUCUAUUUUUUAGUCCAACUAUUUUCUAGUUGUCUAUUUUUCCUAAAGUGGUAGCUCUUUAUCGCAUAUGGAUGAAAAGCAUAUGCAUCACCUGAAAAAUGUUAGCUAAGAGAGUGGUUACUAGAAUAAAAAGGACCCAGUUGGUUGUUGGAAUGCAUAUAGAGAUGUUCAGCUAGAUCUAAAGAAUUUACAUUGUCCACUUUCAUGCCAGGAACAAUAGCAAGAAGAGUGGACCUACCAAAUACUAUCGGGUUGGGUAAAAAAUCCCUCGCUACUAUAGCUCUUACAAAGUAUGAUUCCUCUUAAAAUUGUUGAAUUGCUCUUUAAGAGAUGAAAGCCCUUAUUGGCAAAGAUCUAAAGCAUUCAACCCCACUGAUUGAGCUUGCUGAUGACUUCGAAGAUUUCUAACAAACAGACCAACUUCAUCUACAAGCCAAGAACUAACGAGUCAUAUAUCCUCUUUCAUUCCUAAUUGUUGCCCCAGUGCCAUAGAUAAUUUCCUAACCUAGUGAAUGUGAUCUCAUUUAGAUCAAUUUCUUUUCGAUGAACUUUAAUGAAACCUUUAUAUCUAUUUUAAGUCAUCUUACUUUUUUUGUUUGCCAUUGAUCUUGUGAAGGUUAAGCAUAAAUUUCACAAGGUAGUAGCUUUGAUUUCACAAGCUUCGAAUUUUGCUAAAAUUUUAGAGAGUUUUUUCAAUUUGGGGUUUAGGGUUUAUGUAUUGAAUUUGGGGUUUACGAUUUAAGCGAGAAUUAAAAUUUUUUUUAUCGAUUCAAUUUUUUUUCAAAAUAUCCGACCAUAUAAGCAAUCAUGUCAUGCUUACAUGUCAUUUUAUGUCUAGAUGAUGGAUUUUUAUUAGCUAAAAUAGUCAAGUCAACAUUUAGGCUAACGAAAUUAACUCUUGGAUUAAAUUGAUAUACGAUUUCAGAGUUUAGAUACCUAUUUAGUAACUUUUUUAAUCUAGGUACUAAACCCAACAAAUUACAUGGGCAUAUAGGAUAUUAUCCUUUAUAUCAAUAUAUUAUUAACAAAGUUGAUUUAUAAGUAAAUGAUAUGAUAAGAUGAAGUUAAAUAUUAAAUCAUAAAUUUUUUUAUUUAUUAAAACAUAACAAUAAUAUAAUUCAAGUACCAAAAUACAUUUCAAUCCUUUUGCUUUUUUUUUUUUUUUUUCAAAUUUUAGGUUUUAUUUUUUUAUUUUUAUAUCUAUAUAAUUUAAGGGUUAACUAAAAAAAAUACCAUGUGGCUAAAGUUGAAAUAAAAAUACCCCAUGAGGUUUAAAACAUGACACUUAACUAUCCUAUGAUUUGUUUUAUUAUAUUAUUAUUAUUAUUAUUAUUUUUCAUCUAAAUUUAUAUUCUCUCUCUAAAAUUUCAUACUCUAUAUUUAAAAAUUCAUUCUCUCUCUCUCUAAAAUCAAAUCAAUUUUCUCUCUAAACCUAAACCAAUCCAUAAAUAACUUUUAAAUCACUAAAACCUCCAUACCACCACCACCAUUACAAGUUCAUAUCACUACUAGACUUUAUUGUUAAUUGAUUUUCUCUUUCUAAAAAUUUAUAUUCUCUUUCUAAAACCACUAGACCCUUUAUCUUUCUCUAAAUGUCAUUCUUUGAGAACAAAUUCAUCAACUAAUGCUCAAAUCCCAAAAUUUGAUGGACCCUACCGUCACUGUUACUUUACCAUUAUAUGUUGACACCAACACAUUGACAAACCCAUGAAAUACCUUUUUUGGAUUCUAUGUCAUUCUUUUUUUUUUCUAGCAUUUGUCUCCUCUUUUCAAUACCUAUGAAAAUCAAAUAUCCUUAAUUUGGUUAUCUUUUUUGGGUUUCUUAUUUGUAGGUUAUUGGGAUGAUUUUGUUUUAUUUUUUAGGUGGAUUAUUGGUUUUAAUGGCAAUGUUGAUUGUCUGGUAAUAAUGAAGGUAAUGGUGAGGCUAAUAGGUUACCAUUAGAUUUGAUGGUAACUAUCUAGUUUGGUGAUAAUGUGAACUUGUAAUGGUGGUAGUGGUGUAGAGAUUCUGGUGGUUUGAAGGUUAUUAUUUGUUGAUUGAUAUGAGUUUAGAGAGAGAAUUGGUUUUGUUUUAGAGUGAGAAAGUAUGAAUUUUAUGAGAAAGAGUAUAAAUUUAGAUGAAAAAGAAAGAAAUAAAAAAAGGUAACGAUUUUGGGUAAAAAACAAUAAAAUCAAUCAUAAGAUAAUUAAGUAUCACAUUUUAAAUCUCAAAUGUACUUUCAUUUUGACCUUAAUCACAUGGUAUAUAUUAAGAGCAUUUGAUAGUUAAAAAGGUAUAAUGAUAUUUUUCUUUCUUAGAAUCCUUCAAUAGACAACUAGGGGUAUUUUUAUCAUUUGUGUUAACCGAAUAUGUCAGGUUGGUCUGACAUGCUCAGUUCACAUUAGCUCGACACUGUCUUUAUUAUUCCCUAAUGGUCUCCUACAACUUACCUAUAAAUAUAAAUAUUCAGACACUGCUAAGGCAGGUUCAUUUAACUCACUUUCUCUCUUUCCUAUCCCUUUCGAUCUUUUUUUUUUUACUUGCACAUUGGAGUGCAAACGCAGGGAACACACCUUAUCUUUACCUCUAACUAUUCUUCUUUUUUAUCUUUUUAAGAAUGCCUCAAGGCUAGAGCUCGGUACAAACAUUUGGCAUGCUAGGUAAAAGGAUAUUUUCUUUUAUUAGCCGAGUAUAAAGUAAUGCUGCCAAAAAAGAGAACCUUAUAGAAAAGAAAGAUAGCCAUCCUGAUUGGAAUAAAAAUCAUAGCUAGCAUUCAGUCCAACCAGCCCAACCAUAGAUAGGCCUGAUCAUGGAACAAUUUUAAGUCUUGACUAAAUAGAUAUAGGCUUUUAAAUUGAUGUUAUAAACCAUAAUCGUACCAUAAGUCUCGAAAGUGCCUAGCUUAAUCACCCUUGAUCGAGGAGUUACCAUUAGACAAUCGAGCGACGAAGAGGUGAAAGCCUUUUCAACCUUUAAAGGAGAAAGGCACAACACCUUAACCCAUCAAUACCUUAGCCAUAAUUAGACACAUGUUAUAACUCAAAAAUCCAAAUUGAUAAAUUUUGAAUUCCAACCAAACAAGGACUUGGAAGUUAAGAUAUAGGCCAUGAAAAAGAGUUGAAAAAGAAAGUGGUGGCAUUCGAGGAUGUGUUUAAGAUCCUAAAGAUCUCGUUCAUUAUUAAAAAAAUUGAUAAAGUCAUGCCUCCCAAAAGAUUUAAAAUGAUGACCUUAGAAACAUACAACAAACUUUUGAUCUUUUCAAUCAUUUGAAACUUUAUAAGACUAACAUAAUGAUGCAAGGCACAGACGAACCUUUGAUGUGCAAAGGCCUGGCUAUCAUAUUGAAGAGUGCAACUCGAUCCUGAUACAAUAGCCUACAAUUGAGAUCGAUCACUACAUUUAAAAAACUUAACCACUCUUUUCUGUCUAGGUUUGUGAGUAGUAGAAGAAUGAAAAAAAUGACCUUAAGCUUGAUGUCAAUCCACCAAAGUUAAAAUAAAUAUUUAAAGAGCUAUGUUACCCGUUUUAAUGCAAAAGCUCUGCAGGUUAAAGAUUUGGAACAAACCUGUCAUCGUAGUCAUCUUGACAAGUCAACUCCAUGAUAAAAGGUACUAUCUAAAGUUAACUUUGUUGUUAGAAUCGCUUAAAACUCUAGUUGAUAUUCUACUGAUAGCCAAUAAAUAUAUAAGUACUGAAGCUACAAUGAAAACUAAUUGAAGUGAGAAAGUUCAUCCCUCAUUUUCAAUUGUAAAAAAGUAAAAAUUUUUACGACUCCCCCAAGAGGGAGAUAACAUAAGGUUGAAGUCCCAGUGGAGAAAAAAAGCCAUAUUGCAUUAAAUACCUUUUGAGAGAGGAUUUGAUGCAAAUUGAAAGAAACCCUUAACCUCAGAUAGCCAAAGUCACUAAGAUAGAACAUGAAAAGGGAUUCGAUCAAAAUGUGUACCUUUCACAGAGAUAUAGGCUAUAACACUGAAGAUUGCAUCGACCUAAAAAAUGAAAUUGAAGCUUUGAUAAAAAAAGAUUAGUUAAAAAGAUUUAUGGGUUAAAAAAGACAAGAUCGACCUAGAAUGAACUAUAAGUAAGGCCGAAGAGGGCUCAUUCGAGGUAGAGAGAAAAAUCAUAACAUGAAAUAACGAAAGCCUAAGAAGACAUGCCGAUUCAAGAAAAGGUCCAAACUGAUAAAUAACAGGUCAAUUAUUAAGGUGAUUAAUGUGUUCACUAGGGGUAGCUCCACCUUGUUCAAGAGAAAGUUUAACCUAGGCAUGGUUAUGGCAGUAGACACCUUAGCAAAAAAAAAAAAGAUUAUAGAGAUAAAAUGAUCUCAUUUAGCUUGAAAGAUCUUGAAAGAAUCUAAACCCACAUGAUAAUGUUAUAGUAAUCACGGUCUUAGUGUAUAACUAUGUACUCAAAAGAAUUUUAUUUGAUAACGAGAGUUCAACUGACAUCAUGUACUACAACUAUAUAAAGAAAAUAAAAAUUAGUGAAGAUCAAUUAAAGUCGAUCAUCAUGAUGCUUGUGAAGUUUGAAAAUGAGCAGGUACCAAUAAAAAAAACCAUCAAGCUUUCGAUCUUUUUAGAGAUUGAACCAAAGACUAUCACCUCAGUUAUAAAAUUUAUAGUUAUAGACGUCCCAUUAGCUUAUAACAUGAUAUUAGGCCAACCUAGCUAGUUUAUUAUGUGACUUAUAGGCUCAAAUUCUCAUUUAAAAGUAAAAUUUUUAACACCCAGUGAGAUUGGAGAAGUCCAAAGAGAAUCUAUAGCAUAACAGUGUUAUGUUACAAUAAUAAAUGGCAGAAUUAGGAAGUAUAUGGGCAGUUCGACAGAAACUGAGGUUAAAAGCAAAGGACAACCACUAAAAAUUGACAAGAAGUAAAAAAUCAUCAGCGAGAGCAUAAAACAUAAGAUCCACUUGAUAGAAGCAUGCUCUUAAGUCGCUUUAACUCUUAAGCUUUAAUAAAAAGAAAACUUUUAUUCUAUUUUAAAAUUUUUUGAAAUAACUCCAAAGAUAAUUGAUCUUUUAAAUCGGUGUGAACAAUUAUAUGUCAUUUGAAUUGAGCUAAUAUGUUAGCCAAAAUAUAGUAUAAAAUAAAAAAUACAUACCAAUUUCACUACAUACAUAUUCAGCAAGUUACCUACAGUAUAUUGAUCGUCACAUUAUGAUCUAUUUUCAUAAAAAUGAUAUUGACCUAAUUGAACAAAAAAGAUAAUUGAUUAAAAAUCAAACUCAGAUGAAAACUAACUUGAACUGAUUGAGAACCUUGUAACAGUCCCAUUUUGGGAUAACAUUCUUGGAAAACAUAUGUAGAUAGGAGCUAAACUUCGAUAUAAGGAUCAGUUAAUUUAACUUUUAAAAGAUAAUAUCGACCUAUUUGCUUGGAUACCAUCCGAUAUGCCUAGUAUUGAUACCAAAGUGAUGAUUUAUAAGUUGCAUAUUAACACCAAGGUAAAACCAAUUUGAUAAAAAAAGAGAAUCUUUACCCUAAAAAAAAACAAGCUAUUGAUGAGAAUGUCAACAAAUUAUUGUAAAUAGAUUUUAUUAGGAAGGUCUACUAUUCUAAAUGGAUAGCCAAUGUGAUCAUGGUUAAAAAACACAGUAAAAAAUGAAAUAUGUGCAUUGAUUUUACCUACCUGAAUAAAAUCUGCCUGAAAGAUAACUUUUUUUUCCUAUUAUAGAUCGAUGAUGGAUGAUAGUGCCGAGCAUGACCUUUUCAGUUUUAUGGAUGCCUAUUAUGGUUACAAUCAAAAUCAAAAUACUAAAAGAUGAUGAUAAAAAUGUAGCACUUAUUAUUGAGAAAGGCUUUUACUGUUACAAAGUAAUACCUUUUGGAUUAAAAAAUGUAGGGGCAACCUACCAAAGUUUGAUAAAUAAAAUAUUUAAAAAUUAGAUUAAUCGUAACAUGGAAGUAUAUGUAGAUGACAUGAUAAAUAAAAGUAAAAGCUUGAUGGAGCACCUGAAAAAUCUCAAAGAGACCUUUAACACCUUGAAAAAUAUAAUAUGAGGCUUAACUUGAGCAAAUGUGCUUUUGGAGUCACGUUGGGUAAGUUACUCGAUUAUAUGUUUAACAAAAAAGGGAUAGAGGCAAUCCUAUAAAAAAGUUCAAGCAGUCCUAAACAUGAAGGCACCGACCUCGAUAAAAGAAAUACGAAAGUUAACGAACAGAAUAGCCACCUUAAGCCGAUUCAUGUCCAGGUCGACAGAAUAAUGUCUGCCAUUCUUAAAAAUUAUUAUGAACGUCUAUGACUUCAGGUGGACCCCUCAAUGCCAAAAAAGUUGUUAUCCUCUCUAUUUAUUUUAUCCAAGCCUAGACUUGGUGAAAAUUUGUACCUAUACAUAGCCAGCAUAGACUAAAGCGUUAGCUUGAUCCUAAUUUGAGAAGAAAAAAAGAAACAAAUAUCAAUUUAUUUUUUACGUAAGGUAUUGAUGGGCCAAAAAUUAACUACAGCAGCAUAAAAAAGCUAGCUUAUAUUUUUGUCACCUUAACCAAAAAAUUCAGGCUAUAUUUUCAAACCUACACAAUUCACAUACUAAUCGACCAACCACUAAGACAGGUCUUAUAAAAACUUGAAAUGUUGGGAAGGCUAACUAAAUGGAUGAUGGAGCUCAACAAAUUUGACCUACAUAUAUUACCUAGGUCGGCCUUAAAAUCACAGGUAUUUGUAAACUUUGUUAUAAAACUUACCAUGGUAUACCUUAAAAGACAAUUCGAAGAAAAGUAAAAAAUCUCGGAUAAAGAUAAUUGGAAACUAUACGUUAAUGAAUCGAUCACAGGCCACAGCGAAUGAGUCGACCUUAUUUUGAUAAGCUUGGAAUGGCUACAGUACCCAUACGCCUUGAGAUUCAAGUUUAAAGCAUUUAACAAUAAGGUGAAAUAUGAGGCAUUGAUAGCUAGUUCAAAGUUGGUAACCAAAUUGAACGUUCCACAUAUAACCGCGUAUAGCGACUCCCAACUGAUGGCCAGUCAAAUAAAUGAAGAGUUCAAAGCUUGAAAAGAAGAUAUUCUAAAAUAUUUCAACAAAAAGUUUGAAGCUUAAAUAUUCUAAAAUAUUUCAGCAAAGCAAUGGCUUUAGUGGCUGGCUUAAAAAAAGUCAAGGUAAAAAAGAUACCAAAGUCAAAAAAUUCUCUAAUAGAUUUUUUAUCUAAGUUAGCUUUAGGAAUAACAAUAAAAAGCCCAAACCAAGUUCUGGCAGAAGAGCUUAUAUAUAAAAGUACGAAGGAUAAACUCAUAGGAUAGAUCAUAAAAAAAAAAAUUAGAUGACACCAAUCAAGGCAUACUUGAUCACAUAAGCAUUACGCAAUGAAAUAAUCCAAGCUAAGACAUUGAUGAGAAAGGCCCAUCGGUGUAAAAUGAUUAAAGAAAAACUAUAUAAAAAAUCUUUUAGUAUGCCCUACUUAAGAUGUGUUGAUGAGAAAAAAGUAGAUUAUGUCUUACAAGAAAUUCGUGAAAGAAUAUGUGAAAGUCAUAUUGGACCUCAGUCAUUAGCCUGCAAAGUGUUCAAGUAAGGUUGUUAUUGGCCCAUUAUCAGAAUGGAUGCAACCAAACUGGUAAAGAGAUGCGAUAAGUAUUAGAUAUUUACUCACGUGCAAUAUCUUCCCUCGAUCAAGCUUACUCUUAUCUUCAAUCCGUGGCUUUUUAAUGUAGUAAAAAAUGGAUGUCUUCAGACCAUUCAUCCCGAUCACAAGUCAGAAAAAGAUUUAUUUUAGUAGCAAUAGAUUACUUCAUAAAAUGGCUUGAAAUUAAGGCUUUGGCUACUAUUAUAGAAGCUCAAGUUAAGAAAUUUGUGUAGAAAAACAAAGUAUGUAGAUUUGGUUUACCUCUAUCUAUAAUAAUAGACAAAGGUAAAUAAUUUGAAAACUCAAGGUUGAAAGAAUGGUGUUCAAACUUUCACAUCAACUUUAGGUUCACGUUGGUUGCCCACUCUCAGUCCAACGGAUAGAUCAAAGCUACGAACAAGAUAAUAUUAUAAGCUUUAAAGAAAAAACUCUAUGUAGUAAAAAGAAAGUGGAUCAAUGAGCUAUCAGGGGUGUUAUAGGCCUUGAGGAUGAUCACAAAGGUAUCCACUAGCGAAACCCUAUCCCAUUUGACAUUUGAAACAAAAGUUAUGGUAGUUGUUAAGAUCAACCUUCCAAAAUUAAGAGUUGAAUUAGGAUUAGAAGUAAAUGAAAAAGCAUUUAAGGUCGAUAUUGACUUCAUCAAAGAAUAAAAAGACAUAAACUUAACAAGGAUAGCAGUUUAUCAGUAAAAAAUGGCCAAUUAUUAUAAUAAAAAAGCCUGACAUAAGUAUAUUAAGAAAGACGAUCUGGUGCUUAAAAAAGAAGAAUCCUCAAGAGUAGAUGACUAAGGUGACAAAUUAGUCUUAACCUAGAAAGGGUCAUAUGUUGUUAAAGAAGUCAUCCAUGACAUGAUCUACAAACUAUAAAACUUGAAUGGCGAUAUCAUUCCAAAGAUAUAGAAUGCAGAUAAUUUAAAAGUCUACUAUCAGUAGCUUGAUCUAAACUGAGCUCACACUUGUAUUUUAUACUUGAAUACAUAAAUUAACUUAUGAUUAAUAAGUUUAUACCUACCGAUCUAAUAAAAGUCGAUCUAAAACUUUGAUGAAUUCUCAAGUUAAUUUAAUCUAAAGGAUAACACAAAUCCUCAGUUUAGUUAACUAGGCUAAAAUUUCUUUGAUUAACAUUGGUUAAACUUGUGUGAAUAAAAAAAUUAUGAUAAUAAGGCUAACUUGAGUUGAAGUUUAGGCUUAUUUGAACAAGAAAUUAUAUUGAUUAAUCAUUGUAAAAAUUAUCAAUAAAUGAUGUCAGCAUAUCAUUCUUAUUUGAAGUUAUUACAAAAAAUUGACCUUAUACAUUAACAAAAAUUUAGAAAAAUAAAAAAUAAAAAGUUAAAAAAAUCAUGCAUCUACAACGUUAGUAGUAGUAGUGGGAGCAGCAUCCUCAUUAGUAAGAGUAGUAGUGAUGACCCAUUCUCUUUAACCUUUUCCACCUCAUGUUUAAGUUUUAGAGCUACCUUCAGCUUGGCCUUUAAGGCCUCACCAUCAUUAUCUUUUUCCUUUUUCUCAUCUUUUUCAGGUUGAUUUGGACGAGAUCUCGAUAUGAUAUUGUUGAUAUUAAUAUCAAAGAGGUUUAGGUUGAGGGUAGAGAAUUUAAAUUGUACCUCAUUCUUGGUCAGCUAGAAGGCACUGGCUAUGUUCUUUUUGAAAAACUCCACCUUCAUCUAAAGGCACUCAUUGAAAGCUUUUAACUCUUCUAUGACCUUUUUUCAGGUAUUCUUCCUCUUUUUCCCUAUCUUCGAGCUUAUACCUCAGUUUUACGAUCUUAACUUGAGCAUCAUUAAGCUUGAGCUCGACUUACUCUCUUAUUGAGUUAGCUGAAGCUUUGUCAAUCAGGAUAACCUUCAGCUUUGUUGUCAACUUGUCAAAUUUUUUCCUCUGCUCAAUUUUUUUUGUGGGAUGCACUAAGGCUAGAUCAAACAUUGCCUAGUAUGUUUGAGCUUUUCUUGUGUUUUUCAGCCAAGGUAGCCAUGUUUUUCUCAACCCUUAACAUGUGGGUCAUUAUGAGGUAGGCAUGGUGGAAGACUUCAUCAGUAUUAUCCAUGGGUUGAAGGGAAAAUUUUUGUUAAAAUGUGUAAAAUGACCUCAAAUUAGCUAAAUAAAAAAUACUGAUAAAAUCGAGCUAAAGCCAAUCAGUGCUUACCAAGAAGAGAAAACGUAACUUUGCUGAAUCUCUUUAUCAUGGUCAAGUUGGUGAUAGGGUCAUCAUUAAAAGUGCAUUUGAAAUUGGUAGAUAUCUUUUUCGAGCUAAGCCUUAACACCCUAGCCUGAAGAUUCUCCAGAGUCGAAUGAGAAGCCUCAACUCGUGGUUUUUUGGCAAGAAGAUGAGGUGUUAUUACUAAUGUUAAGGAUAUAUCUCGACCAAUCCUAGCCUCUACUUUUCAGGUUACAGGAGAAUGGUGGAGUAAGGUAUUAACGACCUUGUCUCCUCCGUAAGACGGGAUCCUGAGCUAAAUUUUUUGGCCCUUAUUGGGCAUAGUGGUGUGUUGGUAUAGUCCAAAGUCAAAAUCGUCAUUGCUAGCCAUUUCUAUAAAAUUGAGCUAAUAGUUAGAUAGAAUUAGGUUAAAAUAAAAUCUUAUGAUGUUACCUUAAACCUACCACAGUACUUUAUCUUAUUUAUUACUUCUGGGGAGGUCAGCUCGUGGGCAUUAAUGAUUACCUCCCUUUUAUGGGUGUAUUCUAAAAUUUUAUCCAGAUUUGAUAAAUCCAAGAUAGAGAAAGCCAUUGGUGUAUCCACGAAAGUAUCAAACAUAUUUUUAUUUCCCAAGCCUUAAUCUCGAAAUAACCUUGACCCUGGCUCACCAUCUUUAUUUAUUUUUUGAUUUUCAAGGUAAAAAAGAGCAUUUUUUAAUUUUUUAUUAAGCUCGAACAAUUGGUAAAUAAUUUCUUAUUAGGUCGAGCUGUUAUGUAGUACCACCCACUAUCGUUUAGGUGCUUUUUAAAACAAAGAACUCUUAAAUAGAGGGAGAGAGGGAAAGAUGUUUAAAUGUUGACAAAGAACAAUGAAGGCAACUAUGUAUCGUAUAGAGUUAGGAGUAAGCUAAGUGAUAGUCAAAUUUUAAAAAUUAAAAAUUAAAACAAAUAAAGGAUGAAGCGAAAACCUUAAACCAAUCACAAAGAAAUCUCAAUACACAUAGAGUCAAUAUGGUUUAGUCUAUCAAUGACCUGAUUUGAGGAGUUUGACAUUAUUAUAUUAUAUCCCUCUCUGAAAAAAAAGAAAGUCAUAACUAAAGCAUGAAAGUGAUGAACUAAAUACAUGUUAGGACAAUUUUUAGGAUUAGGGAUCACGUCGGGGUCACAAAUAGUAUACAUAAGGACCUCUACCAAUUCAUCCUGCUAUACAAUAUUCCUCUUUUGGCCAUUGUUUUCCUUAAUGAAGGUACUUUCUUUUUUUGUUUCUCCUCAAAACCAUUCUCGUCAGAAUCUUUACAACCAAAAGAUUUUGACUCCUAAGCAGAACAAUGAUUUUGAGGUUGAAUUGUGGUUGAAAAUAACUCAAAUCAAAGUGAAGAAGGAUAAAAUGAAGAAGGAUGAGGUGGAUACCCUUCAAGAGAUGAAAAAAUCUCAACAAGAAUUAACUGGGGUAGAAUGAAAGUGAUGACAGGAGCAUUGAUAGGGGAAAAAGCAGAGGUAAAAAAAAAUUAAUGAGACUGAACCCCAGAAAAAGAAACAAUCAAGGAUGAAUAAAGGUUGGCUAUAAAAGAUGGACUAACUUGAAAGAUGGAAAAAUGUGGUGGAUUUUGUAGGUUGAAGUCAAUUUAAGUAUAUAACUCUUUCAUGUUCAGAACCUAUUUUUUUCUUACCCAAGCAUUAUUUUCAUCUUAUUAUUGCCCUUCUUUGGACAUCAGAUUGAAUCAGUAGGCCAUCUUCUCAUAAUAAUGGCCCUCGAUAAUUGGUGGAAUCAAAUUGUCAUUUGGCUGCCUGUGCUGACCUCCUUUAGGUUCCAGCCAGUAACUAUCGACCUCCCCAAAACUCAAACUAAAAGAUGUGGUUAAAAAUACAUAUCGAAUAAGGUGUGAUAAAACUUUAAAAGCUGAAAAGUUUUUAAAAUCGAAAAGCUCAUAUCGGAUUGAGAGCAAAGAAAGCAAAAAGGUAAAAAACUGAAGCCUUAAUGGCUUCUUAUAUAGACGUACUACAGAUCAAAUCAACAAUACAUGCUGUAUUACGUGUCAAAACAAAGGUGGGAAUACGUUUUUUCGUCUUCCCCUUUAAAUUUUCUUAUUCAGAACACCUCUUUCCUCAUAUAAUGUUAUCAGACUGACCUUACUGGACAAACUUAAAAAGGAUCGACUAAACCAGACGACUCUUUAGGGAAAACUGAGAACCCGAUUCACCAUUAGAUUUCAAAGUAAAUGUUCAAAUCCAAGCUUUUGAAAUGAAAUACAAGUUUUACGAUGAUUAGACGAACUCCAACACUAACCUUAAAUCAUUCUGAAUAAUUAUCACCUUGGCAACUUUUAAGCUGGCUAUACACUGAACCUAAGAUAUAUGCACAAGUUCAGACAACUACAAGGUCAAACCACGGCUCAAGGCUAGCUAUCCCCUAAAACCGACCUCUUUUUAAAAUAUCGGCUUCGAAAAAUCAAACUUCUAGGUCAUCUUAUUUUGCCAAUUUGCCCUACAUUAGGGGCGUCGAUCAUACAUUUAGCAAUUUGAUACUUAGAUUGUUUUAUGGACAGAUAAAGUGUUAGAGAUAUUUAAUGAUAAAAAAAGUAUAAUGGUUUUUUCCCUCUUAGAAUCCUUCAACAAAUAACCAACAAUAUUUUUAUCAUGAAUGUUAACUAACAUAUUAGAUUGAUUUAACAUAUUUAAUACCAUAUCAACUUGACAUUAUUUUUAUUAUACCCUAAUAAUUUUUUACAACUUAUUUAUAAAUAUGAAAAUCUAAGCACAAUUAAAACAGGUUCAUUCAACUCAUUGUUUCUCAUUUCUACUUCAUUUUCGAUCUCACUCUUUUUUAUUUACUCAUCGGAGUGAAAUGCAAAGAACAUAUCAUACUUUUAUCUUUAAUCGUCUUUUUCAUUUUUUCUUUUUAAGAAUACCCAGCUUAGCAUAAACAGUAAAUGUUCUAAGUUAAUCCACAAUUUAAUUUGACAAUGGGACACGUCAUCUCAGGCCCACGUGUUUCGCAAAAGCAUCUCCCACAUUGUUAGUAACGCCACCUCACCAUUUCACCGAACCAGUUUUACCCGAAACCUCCGACUAGAUACAAACCAACCAAACCAAACGCACCAAUCUUUCAAAGAAUUCCAUAGAAAGUGGUCAGUCAGGUCCACACCCACUCGCUUCAAUUAUAAGUUGUAGUUCGCACUGCGGAUGGCAUCUUCACCUUUUCAUUUCUCCACUCCACUUCGCACUCUCUUCUCAUCUGCGUCACAUCGAAGAUUACCUUGCAUUCCUAUCCAGGCCUCGCUAUUCCGGCAGCCCCUUACGCAUAAGACGCUUGCCAUCUCGACCGGGAUUAGAGGUGUUCCGGGUUCCGGGAGAUUUUGUUGGAGAGCCAAGGCGUCGAUGGCGGGGACCGCAACUGAGAAAGGGAAAGGAAAGGUGGAGGUUUUUGAUUCCG